UCGGRGGSUACUGUGGUGCUAAUUCAUAUCGCUCAUAAGGCGAACCUGGAGAACUGAAACAUCUAAGUACCCAUAGGAAAAAAAAUCAACCGAGAUUCCGUCWUUAGCGGCGAGCGAAAGCGGAACAGCCCAGUUACUAAAUCGUUAUUGGCUUUAGCAGAAUGUUCUGGAAAGUUCAGCCAUAGUAGGUGAUAGCCCCGUAUGUAAAAAGGCUAAUAAUGUGAGUAACAAUGAGUAAGUCGGGACACGUGAAAUCUUGACUGAAUAUGGGGGGACCAUCCUCCAAGGCUAAAUACUCCUUACUGACCGAUAGCGAACUAGUACCGUAAGGGAAAGGUAAAAARAACCCCGACCAGGGGAGUGAAAUAGAACCUGAAACCGUAUGCGUACAAGCAGUCAAAGCAUUUUUUCGAAAAUGUGAUGGCGUACCUUUUGUAUAAUGGGUCAGCGACUUACUUGUUGUAUCAAGCUUAACCGUAUAGGGGAGGCGUAAGGAAACUGAGUCUGAAAUAUGCGUUUAGUUGCCACGAGUAGACCCGAAACCGAACGAACGGAAGUCGUCCGAAUCCACCCGAACACCRCRMGCGAAGGGGGGGGGGGUAGUGGGUCGAGUCAACCGGAAGCGGGGGA
rnacentral:rRNA from 1 species